UGUUUUUAGAGUUAAAUUAAAAAUAAAUUCUGCUCAAUGAUUUAACUUAAAUAGCUGCAGUAAUUUGACUGUACAAAGGUAGCAAAAUAAAUAGUUUAUUAAUUGUAAACUGGAAUGAAUGAAUAAAUGAAAAUAAACUGUCUUUAUUAUAAAAAAAAAUUGAAAUUAACUUUUAAAUGAAAAGGUUUAAGAUCAAAUAAGGGACAAGAAGACCCUAUAGAACUUGAAUAAUUAAAUUUAUAUAAAUAGAAUGUAGGUAUUAAAUUAUUUUAGUUGGGGUGAUUAUAAGAUAGUUGAAACUUUUAUGAGAAAAAACAUUGAUGAGUGGAAAAAGCAAGUGAAGGAAAAAUUAAAGAGUAAGUUACCUUAGGGAUAACAGCGUUAUCUUUUUGGAAAGUUCUUAUUAAUAAAAAGGUUUAUGACCUCGAUGUUGAAUUAAGAUUAUAAACAGGUGAAGGUGCUUGAAAUUAGAAGGUCUGUUCGACCUUUAAAUUCUUACA
rnacentral:rRNA from 1 species